rnacentral:rRNA from 1 species
UUUAAAUGGCCGCAGUAUUUUGACUGUGCAAAGGUAGCAUAAUCAUUAGUCUUUUAAUUGAAGGCUUGUAUGAAUGGUUGGACGAAAUAUUAACUGUUUCAUUUUAAUUUAAAAUAGAAUUUUAUUUUUUAGUCAAAAAGCUAAAAUAUAAUUAAAAGACGAGAAGACCCUAUAAAUCUUUAUAUUUAAUUUAAUUUUAAUUGUAAAGAUUACUUUUGUUAUAAUUAUUUUAAAUAUUUUAUUGGGGUGAUAUUAAAAUUUAAAAAACUUUUAAUUUUAAAAAUCAUUAAUUUAUGAAUAAUUGAUCCUUUAUUAUGGAUUAUUAGAAUAAGUUACUUUAGGGAUAACAGCGUAAUUUUUUUGGAGAGUUCAUAUCGAUAAAAAAGAUUGCGACCUCGAUGUUGGAUUAAGAUAUAAUUUUAGGUGCAGAAGCUUAAAUUUUGAGUCUGUUCGACUUUUAAAUUCUUACAUGAUCUGAGUUCAAACCGGUGUAAGCCAGGUUGGUUUCUAUCUUUAAUUAAUUAAAAUAUUUUAGUACGAAAGGACCAAAUAUUUGAAUAAUUAUAUUUUAUAAUAAGAAUAUUAUUAAUAUUU